UUUGCAUAUUAUACAGAGACCUCUUAUACCUCUCAAAUGUUUCAUUGCUAAAAGUUUCAUGGAACCAUGAUGAAUAGUUCUUUUCCAUGAUGUUGGGGAUAAAGCUGGGCUUUUAAGUCUGCACCUGCGUAUUCUUAUAGCUUCUCAGAGUCCUACAGACAAUGAUUGAGGAGACAGACCGUGCAGGAAACAUCU